UGCUACGGCCAUGUCACCCUGAACAAGCCCGAUCCUGUCUGAUCUUGGAAGCUAAGCAGGGUCGGGCCUGGUUAGUACUUGGAUGGGAGACCACCUAGGC
rnacentral:rRNA from 1 species